rnacentral:rRNA from 1 species
UGGGGAAUAUUGCGCAAUGGGCGAAAGCCUGACGCAGCGACGCCGCGUGAGGGAUGAAGGUUUUCGGAUCGUAAACCUCUGUCAGAAGGGAAGAAACCGCACUGUGCUAAUCAGCAGUGCCUUGACGGUACCUUCAAAGGAAGCACCGGCUAACUCCGUGCCAGCAGCCGCGGUAAUACGGAGGGUGCAAGCGUUAAUCGGAAUUACUGGGCGUAAAGCGCACGUAGGCUGCUUUGUAAGUCAGGGGUGAAAUCCCACGGCUCAACCGUGGAACUGCCUUUGAUACUGCUUAGCUUGAAUCCGGGAGAGGGUGGCGGAAUUCCUGGUGUAGCGGUGGAAUGCGCAGAUAUCAGGAGGAAUACCGGUGGCGAAGGCGGGUCUCUGGGCUGUUACUGACGCUGAGGAGCGAAAGCGUGGGGAGCGAACAGG